UUCGCAAUGCCCGAAAGGGUGACGAAGCGACGCCGCGUGCGGGAAGAAGGCCUUCGGGUUGUAAACCGCUGUCGGGAGUUAGGAAGUGCAAGGAUGUUAAUAGCGUUCUUGCUUGACUAAGGCUCCGGAGGAAGCCACGGCUAACUCUGUGCCAGCAGCCGCGGUAAUACAGAGGCGGCAAGCGUUGUUCGGAAUUAUUGGGCGUAAAGAGCACGUAGGCGGCUGUGUAAGUCGGUUGUGAAAGCCUUCCGCUCAACGGAAGAACAGCAUCCGAUACUACAUGGCUUGAGUGCGGGAGGGGAGAGUGGAACUUCUGGUGGAGCGGUGAAAUGCGUAGAUAUCAGAAGGAACGCCGGCGGCGAAAGCGGCUCUCUGGCCCAUAACUGACGCUGAGUGUGCGAAAGCUAGGGGAGCAAACGGGAUUAGAUACCCCGGUAGUCCUAGCCGUAAACGAUGGGCACUAAGUAGAGGGGUUUU
rnacentral:rRNA from 1 species